UACGAAGGUGGCAAGCGUUGUUCGGAUUUACUGGGCGUACAGGGCGCGUAGGCGGUUGGAUAAGCCCUCCGUGAAAUCUCCAGGCUUAACCUGGAAAGUGCAGAGGGGACUGUUCAGCUAGAGGAUGGGAGAGGAGCGCGGAAUUCCCGGUGUAGCGGUGAAAUGCGUAGAGAUCGGGAGGAAGGCCGGUGGCGAAGGCGGCGCUCUGGGCCUUACCUGACGCUGAGGAGCGAAAGCGUGGGGAGCGAACAGG
rnacentral:rRNA from 1 species